rnacentral:rRNA from 1 species
AUUGAACGCUGGCGGCAUGCCUUACACAUGCAAGUCGAACGGUAACGCGUGGCAGCCUGGCGACGAGUGGCGAACGGGUGAGUAAUGCAUCGGAACGUGCCUAGUAGGGGGGGAUAGCCACGCGAAAGCCGGACUAAUACCGCAUACGACCUACGGGUGAAAGCUGGGGAUAGCAAGACCUCGCGCUAUUGGAGCGGACGAUGUCGGAUUGGGUAGGUGGGGGGGUAAAGGCAUACCAAGCCUACGAUCGGUAGCUGGUAUGAGAGGCCGACCAGCGAGACUGGGACUGAGACACGGCCCAGACUCCUACGGGAGGCAGCAGUGGGAGAUUUUGGACAAUGGGGGCAACCCUGAUCCAGCCAUGCCGCGUGCGGGAAGAAGGCCUUCGGGUUGUAAACCGCUUUAGUCGGGGAAGAAAUCUUCUGGGCUAAUACCUCGGGAGGAUGACGGUACCCGAAGAAUAAGCACCGGCUAACUACGUGCCAGCCGCCGCGGUAACAC